CAACGCAUCAUUGUCUUCCAUA
rnacentral:miRNA from 10 species